rnacentral:rRNA from 1 species
GCAGAGCAUCCUACGGGAGGCAGCAGUGGGGAAUAUUGCACAAUGGGCGCAAGCCUGAUGCAGCCAUGCCGCGUGUAUGAAGAAGGCCUUCGGGUUGUAAAGUACUUUCAGCAGUGAGGAAGUGGGUAUGUUAAUAGCAUACUCAUUUGACGUUAGCUGCAGAAGAAGCACCGGCUAACUCCGUGCCAGCAGCCGCGGUAAUACGGAGGGUGCGAGCGUUAAUCGGAAUUACUGGGCGUAAAGCGCAUGCAGGUGGUUUGUUAAGUCAGAUGUGAAAGCCCGGGGCUCAACCUCGGAAUUGCAUUUGNAAACUGGCAAACUAGAGUACUGUAGAGGGGGUAGAAUUUCAGGUGUAGCGGUGAAAAUGCGUAGAGAUCUGAAGGAAUACCGGUGGCGAAGGCGGCCCCCUGGACAGAUACUGACACUCAGAUGCGAAAGCGUGGGGAGCAAACAGGAUUAGAUACCCGGGUAG